ensembl:lncRNA novel transcript
CUUUGCACUGGAGAAAUGAUCUCAUUAACAAACUAGUUCUGUGCGUCCUUAACACUGAGGCCCCUCGCCUGCAGCUGGAGGCAGCUCUCUGUUCAGCCCCAGUGCAGAGUGACACAGACAGGCGACAGCGUCGCUGAGCACCAACUUCUAUUCCACGGAGGCAGACAGCGAAAACCAUUUCAUAACCAUGGCAAGGCAUGAGAGAAGCACAGGCAUGGUGCAGAGGGCAGAAAGAAGACAAAGAACGAAGAUAAAAGAAGCCUUUUUCCUCAAGAAGAUUGUAAUCUAGUGGUGGAGCUGGAAAAUAAAGGAAAGCAGUGGCCAUGUAUGUCAUGAGGACAUUCCAGUAACCCCAUGUGGUAAGGAACCAAGUCAGCCUGCCAACAACCACUGAAAAACUGAGCCCUCCUGCUGACAGCCAUGUGAGAGGAACACCUGGGAAGUGGAUCCUCCAGGCCUGGUCAUACUUCAGAUGACUGCAGCCCAAGCCAACAUCUUGCUUGAGUGGAGCCUCAUGAGUGACUCAGUCAAAACCACACAGCUGAGAUAUUUCCAACCCACAGAUACUGAGAUAAUAAAUGUUUAUUGCUACUAGGUUUCCUUCCUUCCUUCCUUCCUUCCUUUUUCUCUUCUCUUCUCCUUCCUUCCUUCCUCCCUCCCUCUCCUCCUCCUCCGUCUUCUUCCUCUUCCUCUUCUUCCUCUUCCCCUUCCCCUUCCUCUUCCUCCUUCUUUCUUUCUUACUUUCUUUCUCUUUCUUUCUUUCUUUCUCUAUGAAAAUAUCAGGUGUACUAUAUUUUACCUGCCUUCAUGUAUAUUUGAAUAAUUCCAUAAUAAAACUUUUUAAAA